GUUACCUCCUAACAAAGGGCUCAGGCUGACAGUGUCAGCUUUGAAACAUUUUAAUUGUCUAUUUUUUUUUUUAAUCGUUUUUGGCUUGUGUUCUGUUUAAUACACUAGUUUAUUCCCAGACUUAGACUUUGUUUUGUAAAGUUAUAGCCAUUAUCAUUAAAAUCGUUACUGUUUAAACUUUAAAACAAUUAUUCUACACAAGUUACAAGCCUACAGUUAUGUUAUCAGUAUGUGUUGCACAGUUGCUCUGAUUUUCAUAUCAUAUUUAGCCCUGUAAGAAUAAACAAUGUUAUCCAAACAAAAUUACAAAGUGUUUUGCAGAUGAUUAAAACCGCCAUGACAGUCAACGCUGGUAAUGUUAGACAUGAAUAGAAAAACUGGAGUCAAACAGUAAGAAAACAAAUUGAGUCAAAGCUUGUCUGUUCCAUGAGAUGUUAUUAAGACGACAGUGAGCUCCUCUGAAAACUGAGGAGGAAGAAAACAACCUCCUGCAUGAGCUCCUUUAAUCGAUAUUCAAUAAAAACAUGACACCUACAAGAAUGUGUUUUAAGAGUAUUUAAGCGCAUGUCACAAUAUUACCGAAUAACAAUCUACUGUACUUCUUGGGAGGAUGAAACUAGUUUUAUGUUCAACUGCUGCAAUGACAUGGUGAUAAAAGAAGUAGGAAACUUAAAACUCUGUGUAUUGAUCAACAAAAUCCAGCUGAAAAACCUCCAGUUCAAGGGAAUAUGAGGGUAGCCGAAGCUGUUUUAUUAUUCCUGUGUUUGGCUUUUUAUUUCUCUGGUGUACUUUUCUAUCACUGACCUGUGUCUUUAUAUCAACCACAGGCUGCAGUACAGCUGAGCCACAGACCUGUACGUAGGUGUUGCUGCCAUUUGUUCUUUGUAAUAGAUUGCCUAAUCCCUUGUUAAUGUUAUUUGACUUCCACCUAAACAUCACACUGUGUAAUCCCUAUCACUGAAAUGAUCUGGUUGACACUGCAGUAAAAGAGCUUAAAGUGUAUACUGCUGUUCUAUUGUGUUCUGUCAAAGACCCAACAAGUUUAAGCACUUGACAGAUUCACUAAGUUCUCCUAGUUUGUAUGUUGAUACACUGUGUGGCCUUUUGCCCGCUCUACCACAAUCAAACGGGCCGUAAAUGCUAAUAAAACCCAGGAAGCGGUUUAGUUUGCUGGAAAUGUGCCCUAAUUACACAGCUCCAUUUUAACAGGUGCGGGUUUCACACUGCCACCUUUGGAAAUCUCCGGGGGAAACCCCAGCGUGCAGUAAGUGUGAGCGCUGUGCUUGCUAGGAAAUGGCUGUUGUGCAACACUGCAGAGUUGUGCAAAGGUACACAAGAGGUCUCGCCUCGCUACAACAAAGCAGAGUGAUGUAGCGGCUGCACUUUUUUCCAGAAACACUUCCUUGAGUAGGUCAGGAAUGCUGCCGUCCACCCAGAGAGAGGAAGCUCUCUGAGAAGGGAUUUUGUUGCACUUGCAGUGGCGUCACUAGUGUGUCGGAUCGGCAUCUGUCUCUCCUCCACCUGCAGCGAAUUACCAUGCAGCACAGAAGACGGCAGAGUCCAGAAUAUAGGAACGGAGAGUUGGAGAGUAACGGACAUCUGCACUCUGCGUUGCUGUGCGUGAAACCGUCACCAAUAAAAGCAUCUGUGUGACAGCUGACACAUAACAAAGAACCAGCUCGGGCUCAAUAUAGCCGAUCCUGAUCAAUUAAAAAAAUGCCUUGAUUGGCCCCGAUCCCGAUCGUUGAGAUCAGACUGGGACAUUCCCUGCACGAUAUAGUUGUCAGUUUUAUGUCUUCAUGUUUUGGUUGUCAGACAACAGCACAAUUACAACAAAAAAAAAAUGCUAACACAACUGUCAGUGAUGCCUUGUUUGUAAGAUCCAGUGAUGUAUGUGGUGGAUGCCUAUCCCUUCAAGAAUUAACAUUACUUGUUCACAAAAAAGACAUGAUUAUUGUUGGGUGGAUAUUAUCAUACUGUUAAAAAAAACUGACCACAAACAGGCAGAUCAGUUACAUUGCAUGAUGAGUUACUGAGCAGUUUUCCUUCUUGUUAAUAAAUGUGCACUUGUUUUACAGCGCGAGUGUGCGUUUUUGUUUGUGUGUCCCAUCAUGCCUUUGCCUGUGUGACUGUUUAUGGGUCUAUAUAUGGCAGCUCCACAGGCAGCGUUGCCUGUGCGAGUGAAGCCAGA